AGCUCCAAUAGCGUAUAUUAAAGUUGUUGCAGUUAAAAAGCUCGUAGUUGGAUUUCUGGCUGGAGCGACCGGUCCGCUCCCUCAGGGAGUGUGCACUGAUGUCGCCUCCGGCCAUCCUUGCGGAGAUCGUUUCCGGCAUUAAGUUGUCGGUUGCGGGACCUGCAUCGUUUACUGUGAAAAAAUUGAGUGUUUAAAGCAGGCGUUUGCUGUGAAUACAUUAGCAUGGAAUAAUAAGAUAGGACUUUGGUUGCUAUUUUGUUGGUUUGCGCACCAGAGUAAUGAUUAAUAGGGAUAGUUGGGGGUAUUCAUAUUCAAUUGUCAGAGGUGAAAUUCUUGGAUUUAUGGAAGAUGAACUUAUGCGAAAGCAUUUACCAAGG
rnacentral:rRNA from 1 species